UACGGGGGGAGCAAGCGUUGUUCGGAUUUACUGGGCGUAAAGAGCUCGUAGGUGGUUUGUCGCGUUGUCCUUGAAAACUCACAACUCAAUUGUGGGCGUGCGGGCGAUACGGGCAGACUGGAGUACUGCAGGGGAGACUGGAAUUCCUGGUGUAGCGGUGGAAUGCGCAGAUAUCAGGAGGAACACCGGUGGCGAAGGCGGGUCUCUGGGCAGUAACUGACGCCGAGGAGCGAAAGCGUGGGGAGCGAACAGG
rnacentral:rRNA from 1 species